AUGAUACUGGGGAGAGACGAUGAAGAGGAAGAGAAGAAUAAAAAAAAUAAAGAAAAGGAGGAAAAGAUUGUCUCUCUUACAUAUGAAUAUUUACCCGACUUCUGCUAUAGUGGUGGAAUUAUUGGACACACUGAAAAGGCAUGCCUAGCAAGAUCUAGAAGAACAGGGUCCAGACAGUUUGGUCCAUGGCUGCGGGCAAUUAUGUAUAAGGGAAGCUCAAAUGAAGAAAAGGGCAGAAGCUCGAGUGAUAAAGGAAAUGUUCAGACAAGUAAUAGUGUAGGAAGUAACGGGAGAAAGCAAGGAAGCAACGGGCCAUCCUGGAGAAGGGCUACAUCAGGAAGGGAGGAACAGGAAGAACCAAGAAAUAGAGAAGGAAUAGAAGUAAUGAGUCCCCUGAAGUGA
rnacentral:rRNA from 1 species